AUAACCACACGUUAUUUACGGCCGUCCCCAUCGCACACACGGCACGCGUGCCUGCAGGGUCACCCCAGAGAGCUGGUUGCAGCAGGGAGGCCCGAAGGGCUCCUUUUAGGACCUGAAAACACAUCCCUUGCCUCCUUGUCACAAGCAGGGUGGGUAACAGCAGGGGUUCAGCCCGGCUGUUCCCACCUUUGGUCUCUCCAAGAAGUCGCCCAGCGCCCGGGGCUGCGCUGCCGUGGCUUGGAGCAGGCAGCUCUUGGCUACGGGCAAGAAGCAGCAGCCCCACAGCAUGGGGAACCUGCCUGCUUCCCCUGGAUCCCAUCUCCAGGAGAAACGGCCACAGCUUGGCCAAAACAGGCACAAACCGGAGAAUCUGCCCUGGAGGGUAACUGGUGCGCUGGUCCCCUGUCCCACAUGGGCUCUUUGAGUGGCUCGCCACCCCAGAGACACACACCUGCCCCUGAGACAAGGAGGCUGUUGGAGCAGCCAGGAAAGCUCCAAGCGGCUCCUGCCCCCAAAACCCUGGAGGUGAUGGAGACAGAGGACAGCCCUCAGGCUGCUCCUUCACGGAUCCCUGCAGCAGCCUCUGCACGUGGCUGUCACCCCCCGGGCAGCGAACCCCCCCUCCAAAGCUGCCUGAGGUCCGGCUCUCACCGAGGUCACCCCAUCAAACACGACUCGCGCCUGCAGGAGCAGGCAGCCCCCCCGAGCGUUGGGUGGGAUGUGGGCGAUCCCUUGGCUUUGCAGGAGGGUCAGAGACCAGGCUCUAAGGCUACGAUUAGCUCAACUGUGCCUUGGUGAUAUCCUCACAGGCAGGCAGGAGCUGAUGAACUUUUUCCUUGCAAAAAGAUGCCUCUGCAUGCCCUGGGUGCAGAAACACGCUGCCCCCAGACAACACCUGCUCCUCACCCUCCCCAGCCAGCAGCAGCUGCCCCCCUUGCAGCCUUUUACAGCUCUCCUGGCUCCUGCCCAGCUGAGCCCGAGCUGAUGGCACCAGCUCAGGUCAGGGCUGCUCCUCCUCAGGCUUACAGGCCAGCCCAGAGCGAGGUGGGGUCCCCAGUGCCCCACCAGCAACGUGCUGGGGCUUACUGGGGGAGCAUCACCUCCUUCAUCCUUGCUCGGUCUUCAUCCUCCUCACCUGCAUCUGCGUGCUGCUGAACCAGCUGGGACCGAUCCUGGGGAUGAUCCUGCUCCGUGCCCAUGGCUGUCACCUCUUGAUGCUCACCUGUCCCCAGGGUACUGGCACAGCUGGGAAAAGCUUUUUAGAACC
rnacentral:lncRNA from 1 species